GAGCGAGGGGAGCCGCCGCCAUGUCCGCGCAUCUGCAGUGGAUGGUCGUGCGGAACUGCUCCAGCUUCCUGAUCCAGAGGAAUAAGCAGACGUACCGCACCGAGCCCAGUAACCUGAAGGCCCGCAACUCCUUCCGCUACAACGGGCUGAUUCACCGCAAGACGGUGGGCGUGGAGCCGGCAGCCGAUGGCAAAGGUGUCGUGGUGGUCAUGAAGCGGAGAUCCGGCCAGCGGAAGCCUGCCACCUCCUACGUGCCGACCACCAUCAACAAAAACGCCCGGGCCACCCUCAGCAGCAUCCGGCACAUGAUCCGCAAGAACAAGUACCGCCCGGAUCUGCGCAUGGCUGCCAUCCGCAGGGCCAGCGCCAUCCUCAUAAUGUCUGACCUCACUGGGAAAUGGUGGAGAGAGCCCUACCACCGGAUCCAGGAUUCUCUGGUGUCGAAGACAGUCCUUGCUAUCAUCACACUUGAACCUUGA